rnacentral:rRNA from 1 species
AGAGUUGAUCCUGGCUCAGAAUCAACGCUGGCGGCGUGCCUCAGACAUGCAAGUCGAACGAUUAAACUUUCCUUCGGGAAAGAUAUAAAGUGGCGCACGGGUGAGUAACACGUAGGUAAUGUACCUUUGGGUGGGGAAUAACUUAGGGAAACUUAAGCUAAUACCGCAUAAUGCAGCGGCUCCUUCGGGAGACAGUUGUUAAAGAUUUAUCGCCUAAAGAGCAGCCUGCGGCAGAUUAGCUAGUUGGUAAGGUAACGGCUUACCAAGGCUACGAUCUGUAUCCGACCUGAGAGGGUGGUCGGACACACUGACACUGAAUAACGGGUCAGACUCCUACGGGAGGCAGCAGUCGGGAAUUUUGGGCAAUGGGCGAAAGCCUGACCCAGCAACGCCGCGUGAAGGAUGAAGUCUCUCGGGAUGUAAACUUCGUAAGAAUAGGAAGAAUAAAUGACGGUACUAUUUGUAAGGUCCGGCUAACUACGUGCCAGCAGCCGCGGUAAUACGUAGGGACCAAGCGUUGUUCGGAUUUACUGGGCGUAAAGGGCGCGUAGGCGGCAAUUCAAGUCAGUUGUGAAAUCUCCGAGCUUAACUCGGAACGGUCAACUGAUACUGCUUUGCUAGAGUACAGAAGGGGCAAUCGGAAUUCUUGGUGUAGCGGUGAAAUGCGUAGAUAUCAAGAGGAACACCUGAGGUGAAGACGGGUUGCUGGGCUGAUACUGACGCUGAGGCGCGAAAGCUAGGGUAGCAAACGGGAUUAGAUACCCCGGUAGUCCUAGCCCUAAACGAUGAAUACUUGGUGUCUGGAGUUUUAUUCUCCGGGUGCCGUCGCUAACGUUUUUAGUAUUCCGCCUGGGGAGUACGCACGCAAGUGUGAAACUCAAAGGAAUUGACGG